AACGAACGCUGGCGGCAUGCCUAACACAUGCAAGUCGAACGAACCCUUCGGGGUGAGUGGCGCACGGGUGCGUAACGCGUGGGAACCUGCCUUUAGGUUCGGAAUAACAGUUGGAAACGACUGCUAAUACCGGAUAAUGUCUUCGGACCAAAGAUUUAUCGCCUUUAGAUGGGCCCGCGUUGGAUUAGCUAGUUGGUGAGGUAAAGGCUCACCAAGGCGACGAUCCAUAGCUGGUCUGAGAGGAUGAUCAGCCACACUGGGACUGAGACACGGCCCAGACUCCUACGGGAGGCAGCAGUGGGGAAUAUUGGACAAUGGGCGAAAGCCUGAUCCAGCAAUGCCGCGUGAGUGAUGAAGGCCUUAGGGUUGUAAAGCUCUUUUACCAGGGAUGAUAAUGACAGUACCUGGAGAAUAAGCUCCGGCUAACUCCGUGCCAGCAGCCGCGGUAAUACGGAGGGAGCUAGCGUUGUUCGGAAUUACUGGGCGUAAAGCGCGCGUAGGCGGCUCUUCAAGUCAGAGGUGAAAUCCCGGGGCUCAACCCCGGAACUGCCUUUGAAACUGGAUGGCUAGAAUAUUGGAGAGGUAAGUGGAAUUCCGAGUGUAGAGGUGAAAUUCGUAGAUAUUCGGAAGAACACCAGUGGCGAAGGCGACUUACUGGACAAUGAUUGACGCUGAGGUGCGAAAGCGUGGGGAGCAAACAGG
rnacentral:rRNA from 1 species